GAUGCGGGAAGAUCACAGCAAGUUAUGGGCUAGCUUGGUCUACGUACACGUUCCACACCAAGCAGAGCUACACAAUGAGACCUGUUUGAAAAAUGAAGACGACAACGAAACAAGAUAUUAAAACACACAUACUACGUCCAGUUAAAUCCGACUUUCAGAGAGUUUACCAGGUGAGAGAUGGUGCGCAGGCGCGCAGAGAGCAUGGUGUGCACUGGGAAGGGAGGCCGACAACAUGUUGAUGAGAUCCCGUCGAAUUCCGAUUUCAUUUCACCUGCACUGCCCUUGAUCUUCAUGUGUGGUGGAGGACGACAUGAUCUUCCUGCCUCCACCUCCAGAAUGCUGGGAAGUCAGGAAAUUACCAGCCUACAACACCAACAUUUUAGUUUUGCUUCUAGAGUGUGUGUGUGUGUGUGUGAGUGUGCAUGCCUCUGUGUGUGUGAUUUGUGUAUGUGGAGGCUCUAAGUUGAUGCCAGGUUUCUCCCUCAGUGGCUCCCCACUUAUUUAUUGAGGCAAAGUCCCUCCCUGAAUGCAGAGCUUGCCAAUUGUACACAUCCAGCUUGCCACAGCCCCUCCCCUCCCUGCUCCCCGUUACUGUCUCACAAGUGCUGGCAUUACAGGCAGCCACCGCAUAAUCUUUUAAGUGGGUCUAUGAAUCUAAAUGCCAGUCCUCACACUUAUAGAAAAGUGCUUUAUCCACUGAGCCAUCUCUCCAGCCUGAAGUUUUACUUCUUGAUAGUUUCACAUGGUAUUAACAUUCUUGCUACCUUUACCUGAUCGUUAAAGGGCAGACAGGUAAAGGAAUGGAUGGGUUGCCCAAGGGAGUGUUAUCCUUUCAAUGUAGGGGACUGGCUAACACAAAGUAUAGUGAGAUCCUGUUACAAAGAAAGAAAG